rnacentral:rRNA from 1 species
AUUGAACGCUGGCGGCAGGCCUAACACAUGCAAGUCGAGCGGAUGAAGGGAGCUUGCUCCUGGAUUCAGCGGCGGACGGGUGAGUAAUGCCUAGGAAUCUGCCUGGUAGUGGGGGAUAACGUCCGGAAACGGGCGCUAAUACCGCAUACGUCCUGAGGGAGAAAGUGGGGGAUCUUCGGACCUCACGCUAUCAGAUGAGCCUAGGUCGUAUUAGCUAGUUGGUGGGGUAAAGGCCUACCAAGGCGACGAUCCGUAACUGGUCUGAGAGGAUGAUCAGUCACACUGGAACUGAGACACGGUCCAGACUCCUACGGGAGGCAGCAGUGGGGAAUAUUGGACAAAGGGCGAAAGCCUGAUCCAGCCAUGCCGCGUGUGUGAAGAAGGUCUUCGGAUUGUAAAGCACUUUAAGUUGGGAGGAAGGGCAGUAAGUUAAUACCUUGCUGUUUUGACGUUACCAACAGAAUAAGCGCCGGCUAACUUCGUG